rnacentral:tRNA from 1 species
AAUAACAUGCCUGAUUAAAGGGGUAUUUUGAUAGAAUAUUUUAUGUUGAUUUAUCAUCUGUUAUUG